rnacentral:rRNA from 1 species
UACGGGGGGGGCAAGCGUUGUUCGGAAUUACUGGGCGUAAAGGGCUCGUAGGCGGCCAACUAAGUCAGACGUGAAAUCCCUCGGCUUAACCGGGGAACUGCCUCUGAUACUGGAUGGCUUGAGAUUGGGAGAGGGAUGCGGAAUUCCAGGUGUAGCGGUGAAAUGCGUAGAUAUCUGGAGGAACACCGGUGGCGAAGGCGGCAUCCUGGACCGAGAUUGACGCUGAGGCGCGAAAGCCAGGGGAGCAAA